AUAGGUCAGAGGUGGAAGCAUGGCGACAUGUGGAGCUGACUGAUACUAAUCGAUCGAGGACUUAACCAC
rnacentral:rRNA from 1 species